rnacentral:rRNA from 1 species
UACAGAGGUCUCAAGCGUUGUUCGGAUUCAUUGGGCGUAAAGGGUGCGUAGGCGGCGCGGUAAGUCGGGUGUGAAAUCCCGGGGCUCAACCCUGGAAUUGCAUUGAAUACUACCUUGCUAGAGUACCGGAGAGGAAACUGGAAUUUACGGUGUAGCAGUGAAAUGCGUAGAGAUCGUAAGGAAGACCAGUGGCGAAGGCGAGUUUCUGGACGGUAACUGACGCUGAGGCACGAAGGCCAGGGGAGCAAACGGG